GCAGAGCUUACUUUAGGGAAAUAUAAAAUCACAUUAAGAAAUAUGUUUUUUUAGAUGUCUUAAAUUUAUUUUAACAAAAUACAUGUCAUCUGUUCACAGGUGUGUUUGAUGAUUACCUCAUAUAACAAAAUUUAAUCAAUUUCAAAACCUGUAUUUUGCUCCUAAAAAUGCAUAUAUAUACCGUAUAUAUAUAGAUUCUACCACUGCAUCGAGUGUUAUGCCAUAUUUAUCCACUCAAGACAGUUAAAUUUCAAACUUAAAACGCAAGGCUUGCAGAUCGUUUUAAAUAUUUAAAAUUUAACUGUCGAGAGUGGAUAAAUAUCGUAUUACACGAGAUUUGGUGGUGGAAUCUGUUUCUCUAAUAAUUUUCAAAUAAUAAGCAGGAAAAGUUUUUUCUUCUUUUCUAGUGAUCUACAAAAAGAUGGGUUCUUUCUACAUUACGUCAUCAGGCAUGGUCGCCUUUUUCAUGCCAUCACAAUAGGAAAUUCAGAGGAAAGCAAGAAAAGGAGUAGGGGCAAUAAGGCCCUUAUUUGGCCCAAAAAUUACAACAAAUUUAAAAGUCAUCGUACAUAUUCUUAAAUUACUGAAAACCGUACUACAGUACAAGGUACUCAGAAAAACAAAACAAAUUUGACAUUGAACAAGUUUCCAUGGCAACAGAAGAUGAUUUAUUUUUCAUAUUUUUUAAAAUCUCGUGAUUUUCCUUGUUUUUCAUCAAAUUUUAAGUAGAUUUAGAUUGAAAAAGUAUGUGCGCACCCAAAAAACAAUUUUAUAUUUGGUGAGACUAUGUCAAUAGUAAUAAUUAAGCUUCUGUUGAAAUAUUUUUAUGUUUCUUGACUGCACACAAUGUUUCCAAA
rnacentral:lncRNA from 1 species